GCAAUUCCCUCACCUGCACAAACCUGCCCUUGGCAUGGGACUGGAUGCACAGCCCAGGAUCAUCUCUACUUCACGUAACACCUGUCACUCCAGGAGGACUUAUUCGGACUGCUUCCAACACCCUGACAACAGGAUCUCAGAUUAGACCUGGUGGAAAACAGACAUUGGACACAAGAGUGCACCCAGACAGUGUGACCUCUAGUUAUGACUUGCUGGAACUGGAGUCACCCCAGCAGACAUUAUACAGUGUGCUGUCAAAAAGACAAUUGCCCUGUGACUGUCUUGGCAUUCUAUUUAGCAACUACUGUGCAGUGUGUCUCUGGAACUGAAAUUUUAGUGUAUUAAGCUUAAACGUCCACCAGUUUUCACAGGCUGAGCCAGAGAAAGCCCAGAGCUUUUGUUUUUCUCCCUGCUAAAGCUAAAAGAUCACAGCAUACAAAUUCAACUGAUAAGUGGCUUAUGGGAAAGUGUACAAGAAGUUGAAUAUCCUAGGUUUUGACAAGUUGUUCCAUUCACUUCCUGGACACUUCUUCAGGUGGAGUCUCCUUCACUGUCCUUGCCAUCCUCAGGACCAGCACAGACUCCAAGAGGGACAAGGCAGGAGAUUCUGUGGGACUAUGUCUUUUUCCUUAAUGGUACAGAAACAUUUGUGAUAUUUUUUGCCCCGUGCUGGAAAACUCCUAUCAAGCAAUCUCUGUGGAGUAACUCAGGGCAGCUGGCCAGAAGGACAGUUUGGUGGUCAGUGUGCAUGACUGAAAAUCUCAUCUGAAGCCUGCAGAAGGCUUUAUUCAAUAAAGGGUAUUCAAGUUUAAAGUAAAAGUCAGUGCAUCAUGCAAAAAAAUUAUUAGGAAUAUUAAUGGCAGCAAAUUUCUUCUACUAGUUGUCAUCACUUCCCACACUCAAAAUCACAUCUUAAGAACACCCCAUUGAUGCUGCUCUUUUUCAUUUCCACAUUGGCAGAUGCCACUGGAAUAAAUGUCUUGACAAGCAGUUGUCAUAAUUUCUUUUUCCUCUUCCUUUAGAUAGUAACUUACAACAGAAAUGCCAAUUUUCCCACACACUGUGUCAUACAUUUAGAAUGCAUUAUGUAUUAAAUUACUUGGAAAUAGUUGGCAAACGAGCUGGCAUCUCUCUGAUAAGUCCCAAGGAAGCCAAACAUAAUAUGCAUGCACUCUUAAAUUAUCUAUAAGCAGUUCUGUUCAGUUUUCAAGGGUGAAUGCUCAGCUGUGUUUCACUUCCAAUGCAUUUUUGUUUAAAGCUCAUAUUUAAAUGUGAAUGUAGUAGUGCAUAGGGGAAAAGAAGAAAAUUAAUAUUGUUAAUGUUUCCACAAAUUCAAAUACUUUCAGUUUUCAAACUUUAAAUAAGACAAUGAAGCAUAGAGAGAAUUUAAAAACCAGCAUAUUUUGAAGAGAUUUUAAAGCAGGAUUUAAAACUGUAUAGUUAAAAAAUUAAAUUCUCUAGAAAGUAAAUGCAAAUUCUAACUUUCAAUGGCAGUCUGCCACUUUGCCUUGAACAGCUGAUUUUUCUCUAUCAACACCCUUCUUCAAUUUUAAAAUGAUACUACUUACUAAGUUGUUUUUUUAUUAAAAGGAUAUGUAAAAAAUACCUAGAUGAAUAGCUAUGAUAAAGGUCAUAGUAAAGUGGGUGAAAUACUUCUGCAUGAAAGAAGAUCCUACCAUGGCUGCAUCAGCCAAAGAAAAUUAUGAGUAAGGGACCUGAAGCAUGGCCCAGCAGAAAUUGUCCUGACUGAUGUGAGGAGAUGGGCUGCUGUGCUUAUCCAAGUAACUGGCAAUGCAGACAUUGCAGGAUAAGUGGUUACACAACCAUCCAGUGAUUGGGUCCUCUCACAUGACUGCAAAAAUAUGUCUUGAAUCAGGCUGUAAAUAGCUGUUUCUCUGAUUAUCAUCAAGGCGAGGGUUUGGGAGACACAUUACCGAAGGUACCUCUUGAAUGAAGUGGUACCAUUCCAGGGCAAGGGAGAGAUUUGCAAGCAGAAUGUCAGGGCAACUUCAGCGGGGGACCUGGAAAUUGAAAGGAAAACAAAUAAUAGGCUCAAGAACCUGAGAGUUCCUCCUGAGCUCAUAUCUUGAGGGAUGCAAGAGAAUGACAAAUACUCAGGUACAGCUCGUCUGAUAGAUAUGUAGACAUUAAUCAAGUUAAGCAUGUGUUUCUUUCAUUUCUGACUUUAAAAAACCUUUGACCUGCCUUAUUGCUUUUGGCUUCUGCAAAUAAGCAUAAAAGAAAACGAAACUAUUUAUCCUGGCUUGCGCUAAGAGUGAUUUUGAGGUAUUACUUAACAUCAAAUUAUCUCAUGGUUAUCAUCAUAAUCUCUGAACCACACAAGGGCCCCAGCAAUUCAGUGUUUUUCCCCAAAGCAUGGAAAUUGAAAUGGGAUGUACUCACUAAAGAGGCUGGCAGACUGUUUGAAAGCUGGUUACAUGGAGUUUUAAUAGAAAGUGUCUCUUCAGAGCACAACAUUAAAUGAAGAGAACCUGCUGAACCUGUAAUCAGCACUUCCUUGAAAAAUGAUAAUCAAUAUUUUGUAAAUAAAUGUUUGUGGAACUCUGUCUUGGAGAAGCUUAUAACCUGCUACCUCAGCACUUGCUGUAAACCAAAAUGUUUGUUACCAUGACCUGAUUAUGGUAAUUUAAUUUCCAUUAUACACAGAACAAAACAGAGAAGUGGUUUGCUAAUGGGUCUCGAACAGAGAGAAAUCCCAGUCUAAGUAACUAGUGCAAGAUCUCAGUGUACUUAGACCUAAUGCUAAAGGUCUCACAGUCUCUGUAACGUGGUAGACAAUCUGGAGGGUGUUUCACAGCAGCAUCUGAAGAGUACUCAGUACUCUGACAUAAUUCAGUAUCCAUUUACAGAAGGGAAGCGAGAUUUCACUCUGCAGUCCAGACCUUUGCCAGCUGCUUGUGUUCUUGUUUACAUUGUGUGCUUGUUUACAUUUCAUUUUCUGGCCUGUAAAGAAGUGCCGUGGCUCCUCUCCUCACCCAUCAAUGACUGCUGUCAUACAGCUCUAGGAGGGCCUGGCAUCCUUAAGCAUCAUCCAAACUCUAGGUGGACAUUUACUUUAUUUUCUUCCUUUGUACUUUCUUCUACAAACUGUUCACCUGUACAGUUCAUUUCUACUUUAUAAACAGAUGAUUUUAUUUUGUUUGCUUUUAUUUUAACCUUGCUUUCCUUAGAGUGAUUUUAAAGUGAUUUAUCACUUAAAAUCAUUCUGUCAAUCUUAUAAGAUAAUGGCUGUGUUUCACGUCCACAAUCUCCAUACUGUACUCCACAGGUUAUCUCAA